CGCCAGACAACCAGAGAGGCUGAGAUUUGGUCCAGAAAGAGAAACGUCUGUACCAGAGCAGCAAGCCAAGCAAACAGAGGCGCUGAGCAGACACGCCGGUGUUUCCUUGUGGAAUAUUGGAUGUCGGUUACAUUCUAAAGCACAAAUAAACACGGCAUCACCCCCACACACCGCCACACAAACCUGCGGCUAAUCACUGCAACGCCUGAUUUGUUCUGAAUGAAGCGGACGUGAGAUCAUAAACCAGAAAAAACAGGGAAUAGGCUGCGUUUGUCUGCUAUUUUCAGAGACCCGCACAUGUCGGAGCUAAAACCCGGGAUUUGAAGUGACCUUGGUGGGGACUGGAGGAUAUUCCUGCACACGAUGCGUCCUUUAAAAAAAGAGCUUAAUGCUGUCAUACAUGCUCUGAUGAAGGCUUCACGCCGAAAUGCGUCAGCAGAUUUGCCUGUUUACUGACAGCAAAUAAAUUUAUUCAUCAACACAAAUCAACACAUGAAGGCAUUCUUUAGCUGUUUUUGUCCUCUGGAGUGCCGUUUA